AAAGAAAUCUCUCUCAUCUGAUUUUAGAGUGUAGCAGUGACCAAGAAACAAUCUUUCUCAUUUUCUUGCUUCAAGACGCACCAAAUCUCUCCAUUCCAGUCAAGGUCUCACCAUUUCGGGCAAGAAGUGAACCAAAUCACGUGAAGACUGAGCCCAUCCAAACCACAACGUUCAAAUUCAAACGGUUGUGUUGACUAAAUUUCAAACCUGGUGUUUAACAUCCCGCCUAAACUAUCCCUAAUCUGCUCCUCUAAAAUACCACCUUACAUCUCCAGCAGAAGGACAAGUUUUUCUAGCCGCCAUUCCCCCCUGGAGUUAGUAAUCUCCUUAAUACUGUUUUUCGGUCAAAGCACUAAGUUCAUCUUGCUAUCUUAUUAUCUCUGUUAAAAUCUCGGAUCUGAGCAUCGUUUGUGUUCGAGGGUAGAUUGGAGACCCAAAGCCCUAUUUCAUUGCCACCGUAGCAGUUGCGAGGAGUGUCAAACGAGAUUCAAUCUCAUCAGUACAUCCAGGAAAACUUGCAUUUCAUCCUUUCAAGCACCUCUCUCGUUCCCUUGUGAUACCUCCGAACAAAAAUGAAAGGCAAACAACGGGAAAUACAGAACUCGCGUCCGCUUCUUCGUUCACUCCUUUCCCUUUCUGGAAAAGAAAGAGCGGACUGUUUCAUUUUUUAGAUUAGUUAACUGUUUUGUUUUCUUAUUUGUGAUUGUUUAUUUGAUUCGUUUAAAUUUAUCGACAUUAGAACACCUAGUUUAGAGGGGGAAUCGGUAUAUUAUUUCAACGAGUAUCGAAAAGUAAUGCUUUCUUUCAAAAA